AGCACAUUUUGUUCUUUUCAUACUAAGUCUACAGGGUGCCUAAUGGUCAUUUAAUAUGUUUCCAAGCAACCGUAUUUCUUUAACCUAGAAAUAGCAAUAUUAAUAGGUGCCACCAUGUAGGCAAUAUUCGUCAGAAGGUCUAACGAUUUCAAUUAUUUUUAUGUAGGAAGAAUCUGAAAGAAUUUGAAGGACGUAUUCUUACAAAAUGUCAAGGAAACUGUGCGCUGUAACUUUCGAUGCCUCUCCUCUGCUGACUCCUGUGUGGAAUCCUUCCCAGUCAUCCCUAAGAGGACUCUGCCCUGCGGUGAGCGCUGCUGUGCUUUGUGCGUUGGUUCCACAAGGAGUCAGGAUCCAAAGGCCCACAUUUCACGCUCUGAACUUCAAUCUACACUUUCAUUGUUUCACAAGACGUAUUUCCCGAAGCACACUGGUGCUUCUCAGUUUAAAGCCCUGCGCUUACCAAGCUGGUUAGGUGCUCUGUGGACAUGGCCCACGGAGAAGGACAGGCAUGAUAUGAUUCUAACUCUUGGAUCAUACACAGAGUGACAACUGGAAGCUAAGACUCCAGGACCCUGAAUGUACUGCAACCAAGAUACCAAGGUGUGGGUAAUCUUUUUUGCACCCUUGACAUCAAAUUAAUAAAUGAAACCUGCUGAGAUAUGGCCGCCGGUCCUUUCCAAACUGGUACAUGGACUCUGUAGUAAUUUUCGAUCCUAAUUCUGCCACUUAGCUGUCUGGCUUCGGGUAAACUACUUCCUCAUCUGUAAACUGGGCAUUUUACUAGUCCCCACUGUAUAGGGUUGUCAGGAUUGUUAACUAAGUUAAUAUAUUUGUACUUAAAACAC